rnacentral:rRNA from 1 species
CACGUAGGAGGCGAGCGUUGUCCGGAAUCAUUGGGCGUAAAGAGCGCGCAGGCGGCUUGGCAAGUCGGGUGUGAAAUCCCGGGGCUCAACCCCGUGACUGCAUCCGAUACUGUCAGGCUAGAGGUAGGUAGGGGGGAUCGGAAUUCCUGGUGUAGCGGUGAAAUGCGUAGAUAUCUGGAGGAAUACCGGUGGCGAAGGCGGCAUCCUGGACCGGCAUUGACGCUGAGGAGCGAAAGCUAGGGGAGCAAACGGG